rnacentral:rRNA from 1 species
GUCAUAUGCUUGUCUCAAAGAUUAAGCCAUGCAUGUCUGAGUACAGACCGAAUCUAAGGUGAAACCGCGAAUGGCUCAUUAAAUCAGUCAUAAUUCCUUGGAUAGUGAAAAAACUUCCUCGGAUAACUGUGGAAAAUCCAGAGCUAAUACGUGCAACUGAGCUCCGACCUCGGCGCGAGUCGAGGGAAGAGCGCAUUUAUUAGAUUCAAAACUGACCGGCGUAAUCUUUCGGGAUGCGCCGCUUGUCAAACUUGAUGACUCCGGAUAACUUAGCCGAGCGCUACGGUCUUGGUACCGGCGCCGUAUCUUUCAAGUGUCUGCCUUAUCAGCUUUCGAUUGUAGGUUAAACGCCUACAAUGGCUGUAACGGGUAACGGGGAAUCAGGGUUCGAUUCCGGAGAGGGAGCCUGAGAAACGGCUACCACAUCUAAGGAAGGCAGCAGGCACGCAAAUUACCCACUCCCAGUUCGGGGAGGUAGUGACGAAAAAUAACGAUGUGAGACUCUUCCGAGGCCUCACAAUCGGAAUGAGUCCAUUCUAAACAUUUGGACGAGGAUCCAUUGGAGGGCAAGUCUGGUGCCAGCAGCCGCGGUAAUUCCAGCUCCAAUAGCGUAUAUUAAAGUUGCUGCGGUUAAAAAGCUCGUAGUUGGAUCUCCUAGAUCCAAUUCGUGGGCGGGUCGCUCGUUGUACGCGCGUUCUACGUCAGUUCCUCGGGGUCGUUCCUCUUUCGAGCUCUCUAAGGCGUGUCGCGCGGCGUCGGCUUACGCAGCGCGUGUGUGUCGUACAUUAUCGGCGCAGUUUUCUUUAGGGGAGACUGUUCGUUCGGUACAUGUGUCGCGCGCGCGUGUCUGUGUUUAGUCGUUCGUCGUGUCGUUCGUUGUCUGAGAUGUCUUCGUUAGGUUUCUUUCUCCCGGCGGGUACGGUAGAGCGUAGUCUCCGAGUAUAGCCCGUUCGCGUUUGGUACAAUUAAAAUUUUGUCAGCUCACUCGGAGUGCUCUUUACCGAGUGUUCCAGGGUGGCUGACACGUUCACUUUGAAAAAAUUAGAGUGCUUAAAGCGGGCCGAAAUGUCGCCUGAAUGUUGUUGCAUGGAAUGAAGGAACAGGACCUCGGUUCUGUUCUUUUUGUCGGUUUUAAUGAACCGAGGUAAUGAUUAAAAGGAACAGACGGUGGCAUUAGUAUUGAGUCGCUAGAGGUGAAAUUCUUGGACCGACUCAAGACUGACUACUGCGAAAGCAUUUGCCGAGAAUGUUUUCAUUAAUCAAGAACGAAAGUUAGAGGAUCGAAGGCGAUCAGAUACCGCCCUAGUUCUAACCCUAAACUAUGCUAACUAGCGAUCCGUCGGAGUCAUUCCCACGACCCGGCGGGAAGCCCCAGGGAAACCAAAGUCUUUGAGUUCCGGGGGAAGUAUGGUUGCAAAUCUGAAACUUAAAGGAAUUGACGGAAGGACACCCACCAGGAGUGGACCUGCGGCUUAAUUUGACUCAACACGGGAAACCUCACCAGGCCCGGACAUCAGAAGGAUUGACAGAUUGAGAGCUCUUUCUCGAUUCGAUGGGUGGUGGUGCAUGGCCGUUCUUAGUUGGUGGAGUGAUCUGUCUGGUUGAUUCCGAUAACGAACGAGACUCUACCCUACUAACUAGUCGGCGGAUCGUAACCCUGAGAUGGGUGAGACCGAAGCGACUGCGUAUUGAAAGUUCCGCGGCGUAUCAAUUUGCGCUCGUCUGUUUCAUCUUCUUCUAGGAGGAGAGGUGCGUUCGUUGCGUCGUUUGCGUCGUGUCGAACCGAUUGCGUGUCGUACAAGUUUCGCUUACUGGGGGCGUCCGUCGCAAUGUAUCUUCUUAGAGGGAUCAGCGGCGUCUAGCCGCACGAGAAAGAGCAAUAACAGGUCUGUGAUGCCCUUAGAUGUUCUGGGCCGCACGCGCGCUACAAUGUAGGGCUCAGCGUGCCUUCCCUCUCCGAAAGGAGCGGGUAACCCGUUGAAACCCCUACCCGAUUGGGAUUGGGGAUUGCAAAUGUUUCCCAUAAACGAGGAAUUCCCAGUAAGCGCGAGUCAUUAGCUCGCGCUGAUUAAGUCCCUGUCCUUUGUACACACCGCCCGUCGCUACUACCGAUUGAAUGAUUCAGUGAGGGCAUCGGACUGGCGCCUUCGGUUGAAACAUAUCUUAGGCUGACGGAAAGAUGUCCGAACUUGAUCAUUUAGAGGAAGUAAAAGUCGUAACAAGGUUUCCGUAGUGAACCUGCGGAAGG